GGUCGAAUGGUGUAGCGGCCAUCACGUUCGCCUCACACGCGAAAGGUCCCGGGUUCGAUCCCCGGUUCGACCU
rnacentral:tRNA from 1 species